rnacentral:lncRNA from 1 species
GAAAAGCAUAAAAGCAUCAGCAAAGCCUGGACUCUGCUUUUCCUGCUCUAACAUGCCAUCAAAUAGAGACAGAGCACUCGACUGAUGUAGGCAUUCUGUUGUUCGUAUUUGCCGAGUUCAGCUAAGAAUGUCUGAGAUCAACAGGUGGCCUUGCUAAUGGAACAGAUUCACUCAUUGUUUGUGUGUUUAAUGAAUCAUUGAGUUACUGAUCAACAGUGAGCAAUGGAAGCUGUUCAAACAGAAAGGAAGCCCAGCCGUGAGGUGGUGCUGCCAACACACUCCUUUGAAGCUCGGCUGGCCCCUGUGGGGAGUGCAGGAGGCUGGGGGUCUACUCCCUACGGUUCCCAGAGAAAUGGUAGCAAGAAGACGGUGUUAUUUCUAAUUGGAUGAUGAAAGUCAGCCUAGGGGACAGAGACCAAAGGGCCAUACGUAAGAAGAGGAGGAAGUGAAAACAUCUGAAUCAAAGGUUGAGGUAAAACUGAGAGACAGUGUUUGCAGUGAACCAUGCAGUAACCUUCAUCUUGCCCCCUGGUCUUCAGGAAACAAGCAAGUGGGGAAGGACCGAAAGAGUGAUUUCAGAACGAAGGUCUGAGUGACUAUACACAGAUCCACAUUGUAAGAGGGAGACCAGCACCUUACUGUGAGGACAGCUGUGUUGCUCUGGUUCUGCAGAUUCUGGGCUUCUAGAUCUGAAUAAAGUUUCAGAAAACUCAGACAGCUAAGAAGAAAUACCUGCACAUCAUCUGACAAGAACAUGGAACAGUCUUGGCACCAGGAAGAUACAGAUGUGGCUGACCCAGACUUGCUCCCUAAAGUUCACCCUGAGCUUGUGAUACACAAAAUUUGUUUAAGAGUUCCUGUAGUGAUGUCCUCACCUGUUAUUAGAGUCAUUCGGGCCUCACCUAGAGAAUAGUUGUUGGAAAUCUGUUCUCAGCUUCAUUUGUUCUCUUGGCUUAUUCUCACUUCCAUAUUGCUCUGCCUGUCUAGAUACUUUUUUUAAACUUAUAUAAUGACAACUCAGGACGACUGAUUUUCUAUUCUAUUAUAAGCAGAUUACCAGGUCAGAGACUUAAGCACUUUGUUGCCCCACUAUUUCAUCUGUCAUACGCACUUUGCCCAUUUCUUUUCUAAACAUUGUUAACUGUAUUAGGAUUCUAUCCCUAGGUAGACUGUCCUUUUCCCAAUUUUAUUCUGUUUCGGAUCAUUGUCUUACCAAAUUUAUUAAGUUUAGUUACAUUUUUUUUUUCCUUGGAGGUUUCCCAGACUCAGAAACCUAAAACUGCCUGGGGUGGUCCCAGCUUACGUUUGUAUUCUCAGCAUAAUUAUUACAGAGUUUCCUUUCACUGUCAGAAGAAUCUUGCUUUGGAUGGUAAAUUAUAUGGUCACUCUGCUGGCCUUUCAGACUGACUCGGAACCACCCCACACACCUGACUGAGGGCACCUCAACUUCUUCCAGAACUUCAGUUAGAGACUACAUGUGGUCUUUCCUCCAGGACUAGCUUCUGGUGGUCUGGAAAUGAGUAUCUGACUCCUGGCAGGGGUGCUGUGGCACUGCCUAGGACAUUAAGCUGAGCUUCUUUCUAAGCUAAUGGAGCCCAUGAAGGUUAGAUGAUGAUUACUCUGAUUCUGUGUGUACCUCAUAAAGAUGCAGUGGAGUGGAGCAAUUAAAAACUGGAACUUUGGAGCAGGACUGCUUAAGUUCAAAUCCUGGCUCUGUCACUUUCAUUUUAUAUCAUUUAAUUGGGGCCUAUAAACCCAUGUACAUGUUCUUUAUUAAGAGAUCUUUGAAACAGAAUAUUUAUACAUGCACAGACCCACACUCAUUUAGUUGUACUUGUGAUCUAACAUUUGCAGAUUUCCCAUGUCACAAGAUCUAAUAACAUGGACAUGGCAUGGAUGACUCAGCUCCAAGCCAGUUUGUCAUAUUAUGAUAAUUCAUGGGACAGUAAGCUUGGCAAAAUUUCUCAGCACUAAGACUUCCUCUCCACAAGACAGACACAACAACUAUUCCCCCUCUGGAUGUUCAGUAAAAGCUGAAUUAUGUCAUUCAUUUAUUCACUCACAAAGCAUAUGUUCUUUAUGGAGCUCUCAGCCGUACAGCAUUAAGGGCAGUAAAGAAUCUAAAGAAAAUAAUGUCCAUGCUUAAUCUCAAGUAGUUUGUUACUGAGCUGGAAAUAAUCGAAGUAUGCACACAAAAAUUGAAUGACCAUGCAAGACAAUGAAGCCAAAAAUGCAAGACACUGAAAGUGAAAAGAAAUAUAAUAACUAAAUGUCAGAUGACCUCACAUAAGAUCUAUAGAAGCUUAGAAAAGAGAACCUAGGAAUGAAGACACCAAGAGAGUCAAGACCUAGAAGAAGAUGGAAGCUGUGAAUCUGGGAAGAAAAACAUAAAUUUUAGAUAUGCAUUGAACAUCAGAUUCAGACUAAAUCUAGUAUCUGGCAUCAGCUUCAGCCUUGGCUUCUAGAAAGCCAAACACCUACUUCAGUGUCCUUUUUUAGUAUCCUGGAAGUUGUAAAUGGUCAGUGAUCCUGUGAUUGUGCAGCUUAAAAUCUUAUUUGAUGAGCUCAGCAAUGCUAGGAAGAUGACAAAGCCAUGUCAUUUGGAGUAAUUUUUAAAAUAGAUGUGCCAGCUUUUUAUUCUGAGAAGUAAAUAUGUUAGAAAGGACAAUCCUUAUUAUCAUUUCAUACAAGGAUAUUUGACACCAAAAUAUAGAUAUGACAUGAUCAGAUUUAAUUUUAAUAUCUCAAUAUUCACUUUCAAGUAUGGGUAAGUAUUCUCAAUAUCCAUUGGAGUUUUUAAAAGACAUUGUUUUGUUUUAUGCUAUAGCACAUAACAUAAAUGCUAUAAGAUUAAUU